UCCUUGGUGGCUCAAAUAGUAAAGAAUCUGCCUGCAAUGCAGGAGACUCAGGUUCAAUCCCUGGGUCAGGAA
rnacentral:tRNA from 1 species